UCUAAUUGGCAAAAUCAUCUACCUAGCAAGAAUCUUCUUGAUGGGUUUACUUGUGGAGUUUUUCGUGAUACUCUUUACAUAACUGGAUACUCAGUAUUUAAUGCAUUUUGUGCCUGUCUUUUACUUUGUUGUUUAACAACAUAUCUUCCUUACUUAUUUAAGUGCUUAUCCCUGCCCACCUUUUAAGCAUAAUCCUUGAUGAAGUACAUUCAAUGACUCAAGAUGCUCAAGUGAGUUGCCUUACUUGUUUUAGUAAUAAGCUAUAUAAUUUUGACCUAACACUGAGAUUUUACAGAAGCAAUGCUUACUAUAUUAACCAAUAAACCAGUGUCAAAUUGAAUGUGAUACUAUUUGAGGAGUUCACACAUGAUAAUGUUCCUCAUACUAAGCUUGGAGAAUAUAAGAAAGACUAGUAGUAGUUUUAUUAACUAUAUUUCAACUCGUUCUCAUAUAGAGGAGGUUUUAAGAGCUCUUUCAAGCUAUCUUGGUGUGCUAUUGCUAUGUCUUAUUAAACAUAUGUAUUGUUAUUAUACUUUUAAUCUGUUUAGUAGCCACAAUCACACCGUAUUCACCAUUAUAGCUCUGAAUUUGUUCAUACAUUGUUUUUCCAUUCCCGUUUGUUUGACAUAGUUUUGCAGGACUCUACAUGCUUUUUUUAGCGAUAGUACAUCUGUUUCAAACCUUAUAUCUGGCAGAGGAAGUAGGGGAGUUACAAGUUUUUAGGGAGGAGAGAACAAGUUCAUGGAAAUGGAGUACCUGAAGGCAGAAAGGGAACAACUCUUACGAAGUUUGUAAUGGCUUGAUGGAUUUGCAUUUUUUCUCAAUCUUGAAGCCUGAUUCUUCUUUUCUUGUUCUGUUUUUCUUAUUUGGUCUCUUUGAAAAAUACUAGCGAUGGGGUUUAAUAGGUCAUUUUUAAAUUUAAAGCGAAAGUCUGUUUAGUUGCACGAAA
rnacentral:lncRNA from 1 species